UGAGGAAUAUUGGUCAAUGGCCGCAGGGCUGAACCAGCCAAGUCGCGUGAGGGAUGACGGUCCUAUGGAUUGUAAACCUCUUUUGUCAGGGAGCAAAGGGCGCCACGUGUGGCGCUUUGCGAGUACCUGAAGAAAAAGCAUCGGCUAACUCCGUGCCAGCAGCCGCGGUAAUACGGAGGAUGCGAGCGUUAUCCGGAUUUAUUGGGUUUAAAGGGUGCGUAGGCGGCCUGCCAAGUCAGCGGUAAAAUUGCGGGGCUCAACCCCGUACAGCCGUUGAAACUGCCGGGCUCGAGUGGGCGAGAAGUAUGCGGAAUGCGUGGUGUAGCGGUGAAAUGCAUAGAUAUCACGCAGAACUCCGAUUGCGAAGGCAGCAUACCGGCGCUCAACUGACGCUCAUGCACGAAAGCGUGGGUAUCGAACAGG
rnacentral:rRNA from 1 species